rnacentral:rRNA from 1 species
ACGGGAGGCAGCAGUGGGGAAUAUUGGGCAAUGGGGGAAACCCUGACCCAGCAACGCCGCGUGAAGGAAGAAGGCCUUCGGGUUGUAAACUUCUUUUACCAGGGACGAAGAAUGACGGUACCUGGAGAAAAAGCAACGGCUAACUACGUGCCAGCAGCCGCGGUAAUACGUAGGUUGCAAGCGUUGUCCGGAUUUACUGGGUGUAAAGGGCGUGUAGGCGGAGCUGCAAGUCAGAUGUGAAAUCCCGGGGCUCAACCCCGGAACUGCAUUUGAAACUGUAGCCCUUGAGUAUCGGAGAGGCAAGCGGAAUUCCUAGUGUAGCGGUGAAAUGCGUAGAUAUUAGGAGGAACAUCAGUGGCGAAGGCGGCUUACUGGGCUUUAACUGACGCUGAGGCUCGAAAGCGUGGGG